GAGACAGGAGUCUUGCCGAUGCUCCAGGCUGAAUAAACCCCUUCCUUCUUUAACUUGGUGUCUGAGGGGUUUUGUCUGAGGCUUGUCCUGCUACAUUUCUUGGUUCCCUGACUGGGAAGCAAGGUGAUUAACAGACGGUCGAGGCAGCUCCUUAGGUGGCUUAGGCCUGCCCUGUGGAGCAUCCCUGCAGGGGACUCUGGCCAGCUUGAGCAAAGCAGAUCCUGAGAGCACUCCUAGGUAGGCAACUGCCCCAGUGGAAUGCCUCACCAGAGCAGCGCGUGGCAGGCCCCCGUGAAGGAUCAACACAGUGGCUGAACACCAGGAAGGAACUGGCACUUGGAGUCUGGACAACUGAAACUUGACAUUGUUGCUCCGGGUUCUCCUACUUUCAGACUUCAAGACUCCCACCUCCCCCUCCAACUGCCCAGCCUCUGACUGGGAGUUACUCCACUGGUGCACCUUUGUCUUGGACUAAAUUGCACCACGGGCUUUCCUGGUUCUUCAGCUUGCAGAAAGCAUAUCGUGGGACUGCUUGGCCUCCAUAAUCAUGUGAGCCAAACUUCAUAAUAAAUCUCCUCAUAUCUACUGUGUAUAUCUUUUGGUUCUGUUUCUCUGGAGAACCUGACUAAACUUGGGAGGUUGUGCAGGGAGAAGAAGCAUAUUGGAACUCUCUGUGCUUUUGGCUCAAUUUUAUUGUGAACUUAACACUGCUCUAAAAUAUAAAGU
rnacentral:lncRNA from 1 species